rnacentral:lncRNA from 1 species
UUACAGGUGCUGUCACUGGCUCCUUUUUCUCUCAGAUUUCUUUUCUAUGUGUGUGCAUAUGCACACAUGCAUACAGGUCCCACAGAGGCCAGGAGAGAGGAUAGAUUCCCUGGAGCUGGAGUUGCAGGCAGGUCCAGCUUCCUGACGUGGCUCCCCCAGAGAGGAGGGUGCUCUUCAUCACUGGGCAUCUCUGCAGCAGCUUCCCACCCACCCCCUUUUUUCCUUUUGACACAAGAUCUUACUGUGUUACCCAGAUUAGUCCUGAACUUGCAAUCUUUCUGUCCUAGGCCCCAAAGUGCUGGUAUUACAGGCAUGCAGUAUUAUACCUGGUUCUUUUUUACACACUGGAAAAACAAUAUUCCUAGACAAAUACCUCUUCUACUUUAAAAAAAAAAAA